AACCCAUGGGGAGGGCACCUUCUCAACAGAUCCUUGUAUCUCUCCCAUGCAUUGUAGAGUGUUUCUAAAUCCAUCUGUACAAAAGAGGAGAUAUUAUUACGUAAUUU
rnacentral:snoRNA from 1 species